rnacentral:rRNA from 1 species
AUUGAACGCUGGCGGCAGGCCUAACACCUGCAAGUCGAACGAGUGGCGGACGGGUGAGUAAUGUCUGGGAAACUGCCUGAUGGAGGGGGAUAACUACUGAAAACGGUAGCUAAUACCGCAUAACAUCAGAUGUGCCCAGAUGGGGUUAGCUCGUUGGUGGGGUAACGGCUAACCAAGGAGACGAUCACUAGCUUGUCUGAGAUGAUGACCAGCCAAACUGGAACUUAGACCCGGUCCAGACUCCUACGGGAGUCAGCAGUGGGGAAUAUUGCACAAUGGGCGCAAGCCUUAUGCAGCCAUGCCGCGUGUAUGAAGAAGGCCUUCGGGUUGUAAAGUACUUUCAGCGGGGAGGCGUUACCCGCAGAAGAAGCACCGGCUAACUCCGUGCCAGCAGCCGCGGUAAUAC